CCCUAUGGGGUGCAGCAGGCGAGAAAACUUUGCAAUGUGCGAAAGCACGACAAGGUUAAUCCGAGUGGUUUCUGCUAAAGGAACCUUUUGUCAGUCCUAGAAACACUGAUGAAUAAGGGGUGGGCAAGUUCUGGUGUCAGCCGCCGCGGUAAAACCAGCACCUCAAGUGGUAAGGAUGAUUAUUGGGCCUAAAGCAUCCGUAGCCUGCUUUGUAAGUUUUCGGUUAAAUCCAUACGCUCAACGUAUGGGCUGCCGGGAAUACUGCAAAGCUAGGGAGUGGGAGAGGUAGACGGUACUCGGUAGGAAGGGGUAAAAUCCUUUGAUCUAUUGAUGACCACCUGUGGCGAAGGCGGUCUACCAGAACACGUCCGACGGUGAGGGAUGAAAGCUGGGGGAGCAAACCGGAUUAGAUACCCGGGUAGUCCCAGCUGUAAACUAUGCAAACUCAGUGAUGCAUUGGCUUGAUGCCAAUGCAGUGCUGCAGGGAAGCCGUUAAGUUUGCCGCCUGGGAAGUACGUACGCAAGUAUGAACUUAAAGGAAUUGGCGGGGGAGCACCACAAGGGGUGAAGCCUGCGGUUCAAUUGGAGUCACGCCAGAAAUCUACCGGAGAGACAGCAGAAUGAAGGUCAGCUGAGGACUUACCAGACAGCUGAGAGGUGGUGCAUGGGCCAAGGGCGAAUUCA
rnacentral:rRNA from 1 species